rnacentral:rRNA from 2 species
GAAUCGCAUGGCCUUGCGCCGGCGAUGGUUCAUUCAAAUUUCUGCCCUAUCAACUUUCGAUGGUAAGAUAGAGGCUUACCAUGGUCUUAACGGGUAACGGGGAAUUAGGGUUCUAUUCCGGAGAGGGAGCCUGAGAAACGGCUACCACAUCCAAGGAAGGCAGCAGGCGCGCAAAUUACCCAAUCCCGACACGGGGAGGUAGUGACAAUAAAUACUGAUACGGGGCUCUUUUGGGUCUCGUAAUUGGAAUGAGUACAAUCUAAAUCCCUUAACGAGGAACAAUUGGAGGGCAAGUCUGGUGCCAGCAGCCGCGGUAAUUCCAGCUCCAAUAGCGUAUAUUAAAGUUGUUGCCGUUAAAAAGCUCGUAGUUGAACCUUGGGCCUGGCUGACCUGUCCUCCUAAUCGAGCGCACGGGUUCGGUCGGGCCUUUCCUUCUAGGGAACCCCAUGCCCUUCACUGGGUGUGGUGGGGAACUAGGACUUUUACCUUGAAAAAAUUAGAGUGUUCAAAGCAGGCCUUUGCUCGAAUACAUUAGCAUGGAAUAAUAGAAUAGGACAUCGGUUCUAUUUUGUUGGUUUCUAG